GGGGGUUUUCCCCAUCUCCUUCAUAAAUAUAAAAGUGUGUUCUUGAUCAGAUUCCCUUAAUCUACCCCUUUCUUAGUCUCUAAUCUCUUAAUCUCUCUAAGUCUCUUUGUUUCUGAUUCAAGUUCAUACUAGUUUCAUCAGACCUCUUAUUCAACUAGUUCAAGACCUUAUCUUUGCCUCUAAUGGCUUCUCAUACACAUACACAGCCAGAGCUCUCAAAUCUCAUAUGGUAUCAGAGCCAGGUUCAUCAGAACCUGAGCUGAAGCUUCCGCAAACACACUGCUCUCUCCUCAGCUCAAAUCCAAAC
rnacentral:lncRNA from 1 species